UCAAACUUGGUCAUUUAGAGGAAGUAAAAGUCGUAACAAGGUUUCCGUAGGUGAACCUGCGGAAGGAUCAUUAUUGAAUAAACUUGGUCAAGCUGUUGCUGGUCCUUCGGGGCAUGUGCACGCUUGCCACUUUUAUAACCACCUGUGCACCUUUUGUAGACUAGAAACGUUUCUCGAGGCAACUCGGAUUGAGAACUGCUGCGCGCAAGCCAGCUGUUCUUGUGUUUCUCAGUCUAUGUUUUCAUAUACUCCAAAUGUAUGUAUCUGAAUGUAUUGCUGGGCCUUAGUGCCUUUAAAACAAAUACAACUUUCAACAACGGAUCUCUUGGCUCUCGCAUCGAUGAAGAACGCAGC
rnacentral:misc_RNA from 1 species